AUCAAGUACAGUGCAGUAAACGAGUAAAAAUGAAUUGGCUUUCAUUGUUUGUAUUUGUUGUGCUGGCCAAUGUGGCUAUAUCGCUGCAUAUACCCAAAGCCGGCAAAUUCGAUAAACCUAUUUGUUGUAGAUAUAAUUGCAGUCCUGAGUUGUGCAAUAAGGAUGACUAGAAAUACCAUAAAGAGUUCUGAACAAGAAAUUUGUAAAAGAA